UUUAAAAUUGAGAGUUUGAUCCUGGCUCAGGACGAACGCUGGCGGCGUGCUUAACACAUGCAAGUCGAGCGAUGAAGCUUCCUUCGGGAAGUGGAUUAGCGGCGGACGGGUGAGUAACACGUGGGUAACCUGCCUCAAAGUGGGGGAUAGCCUUCCGAAAGGAA
rnacentral:rRNA from 1 species